UACGUAGGGUGCGAGCGUUGUCCGGAAUUAUUGGGCGUAAAGAGCUCGUAGGCGGUGUGUCGCGUCGGCCGUGAAAACCUGGGGCUCAACUCUGGGCGUGCGGUCGAUACGGGCAUCACUUGAGUUCGGCAGGGGAGACUGGAAUUCCUGGUGUAGCGGUGAAAUGAGCAGAUAUCAGGAGGAACACCGGUGGCGAAGGCGGGUCUCUGGGCCGAUACUGACGCUGAGGAGCGAAAGCAUGGGUAGCGAACAGG
rnacentral:rRNA from 1 species